AAUAAUUUAUUCAUUUGUUCAAGCAUUUUUCAUUCAUUUGUAAAACAUGAAAUGAGAAGAAUGCAAAACAUAAAGCUAUGUCUAUGUCAUUUCAUCAUUUUAUAUGAGGUAACUUGUCCAAUGCCUGUCUGUUUCAAGGAGCUCAUAGUCUGGUAAGGAAAAUACAUGCAUAAAUAGGAAGAAGUGUUUAUUUUAUUUGAAAAAAAAUGUUUUGGUGAUUAGAUUGGGUCACUCAUAUGUCAAAAAUAUCCCAUAGAUUUCCACUGGAGUUAAGAAAAAAACCUUUUAUGUGUUCUGCCACUAUCUGUCUCUGUCUUCAUAUUUUAGGGCUACUUUCUGACUUUUUUUUUUCCAGAACACACAAAAGCUUGUUGCUGCCUCAGAGUUUUUGCCCUUAUAGUUCUUUCAGUUUAUAACCCUUGUCUCAAGUUCAUGGCAUGGCUGAUUUUUCACCUCUCCAACUCUCAGCUCAAAUAUCACCUCUAAGGUCAGGCCAUGCCUGGCCACUCUACCUUAAUUAGUCACCAUCCACCUCACAGGUUACUUUCACAUCAUCACAGUUGGAAAGCACUGUGUUUAUUCAUUUGCUUUGUGUUCCUUCUACUAGGAUGUAACCUUCAUAACAAUAGACAUCUUGUUUUUCUUCAUCUCUGUGUCCUAAUUAGCUCACAGAUAGGGGAUACUCCAGAAAUAAUUAUUAAAUACAUGAGGGAUUUGGGUAUGAUUUGAGUCCCCACCCCUUUUCCUAUACUCUACUCUCAUCCCUUGCUGUUCCUUCCUUCCAAGGCCUUGAUGUUAGUUGGUACCAGAAUUUGGGGGGAAAUUGCUCUGUAUACAUUAUGUGAAGAAAUUGAGGAAUUAUAUUGCUUAUAAGAGGAGUGCAGAGAGGGGUAAGGGUAGGAGCAAAUAAGAUGGUAGAAAGUGGAGUGCUAGACUACUUGACUCCUUUUGCUGCCCUCCCUCCCAAAUUACGAGGCGCAUGAAAAACUGACAUUGAUGUAUAAUAGAAAUUAAAGGUGUUAAAUUUUAUUCACAAGUGGUGUAGUGAUAGACAAAAGCAAUAAUAGAGGAAGCUGGAGCUUGAGAGAUAGAACAGAGGAGGAGAUGUAAAACCCUUGGGAAUUAGCAGAAAUAUUGAGGGAGCAUUUCCUGAAGCCAUGAAAACAGAAAGUUCAAGGCAAUGUUGCUUAGCUCUCAUGGGGUAGGCAGACAACUAAAGUCUUUGAUACAUACAGAAUUGUGACACAUAGGCAAUAAUAGAGACAAUGUGGAGGGAAUGACUAAGACUGUCCACUGAACAAGGGAAGGGGGCUUCUUGUAAAGUCUUUGUAUACUGUACAUGAGAAUUAAGAUAUAUCUUGCACAAUCAUUCAAUGUUUUCCAGGUAGAUAAAGUGAUUGGGGUAAAGCGCAUUUCGGAAGAAUGGUGGCACGAAUUUGCCUUCAUUAAAAUAAAUUCAUUAAAUGAAACUUUAAUGGUGCCCACUAAAUCCCAGACUCUGUACCAAUUAGGUAAUUCAAUGGGUCUUAUAUUGGAAUGGGGUUAGAGUUGACAGCAUAGGCUUGAGUCAGAUAGACUUGAGUUCAAAUCCCAGCUCCACUACUUCUGAGUUGUGCAAACUUGGGCAAGUUAUUCAAUCUCCUUGUGCCUUGAUUUCCUUAUCAAUAAGUGAUUUGUUUUUAAAGAAGGAUUCACAAGCAAACAUAUCUGGUUUUUUUGUUUGUUUGUUUUUGAGACAGAGUCUUGCUCUGUUGUCCAGGCUGGAGUGCAGUGAUGCGAUCUUGACUCACUGCAACCUCCGCCUCCCAGGAGUUCAAGCGAUCCUCCUGCCUCAGUCUUCCGAGUAGCUGGGACUACAGGCAUGUGCCACCACACCCAGCUACUAUUUUUGUAUUUUUUUGUAGAGAUGGCUUUGCCAUGUUGGCCAGGCUGGUCUUGAACCCUUGACUUCAGGUGAUCCACCGGCCUCGGCCUCACAAAGUGCUGGGAUUACAGGUAUAAGCCACCACGCCCAGCCUGCAAACAUAUGUUGAACUCUUUGCACAGUGCCCUGCAUGAGAUAGAUGACAGCUACUUCUUCCAUGUUGUUAAUUUGGUGUGAGUAUAUGUUACAUGUAUGUGUAUGCAAGAUAAUAAUCUUCUUGUAACCACUGACAGGCCUUUUUGUGAAUGAUGAUGGAAAAGGCAAGAACCUUGUCCAGGUUCCUCUCCAGGGAGCAGGGGUGGGUUGUGAUUCUUGAUUUCAUUCCUUUGGAUAUGAAGAGUUUUCACACAGAGGCAGCACAAAUUUGUCUCUCUCCUAGAGGGUGGGGAGAGUUGCUGGGUGGAUAUAACUGCAUCACAGCCUUUCUGGGUAAACUGGCCACUCCCUACUGAUUUGUUAUCAUGCUAAAUGUGUCUCCUCCCUUCCUUUCUGGAGCUUUUGCAGCUGUUCCUGGAAGGAGACCCAGUUGAAAGGGGUUGUUAUGGACCAGGAACAGCUGGGAUCUUUAAUGAUCUGUCAGCAGCUUACAGCAAAGUUCCAACACCCUGAGCAUCGGUCCCCAAAUCCUUGGUCUCUGCAUUCCAACACAAAGUAAAAAGGAUUGAGCAGGGUUUUGGUUUUGGUUGCAAGUAACAGAAACCCAACGCUAAUUAAUAAACGGGAAAGUGUGUCAGUGGAAAUGUAAGUAAGAAGAGAUUUCAUUUAUUGGCCAAUUCAAAAGAUGACAAGCUUUAGGUGUGGCUCAGUCCAGUGGCUCAUGAUGUCUUCAGGACUCAGUGUUUCUCUGUUGUCAUCUCUUAGUUCUAUUAUUUUUUCUGUGUUGGUUCAUUAUGAGGUUUCCUUUAGAGGGUGGCAGAGAAAGCCACUAGUUGCUCCAAGUCUUUAUUCUACCAGCUCCACAAGUCCGACGGAAAGAGAAAACUGCUUUCCCAAAGGGUGUAAGAGGAUGAAAGGCAUGUCAUCAGCUGAAUUGCAUCAGGUGUCCAUCUUGGAAUCAAUCACGGUGCCUCUUAUUAGCAAAGCCUGAGUCAUAGGUGAGUCUAUACUUGGAUGGGGUAGUAAGGAAAUCCCAUGUUGAUUGCAUGGAUGGAAAGUGGGGGUGUUGUGGUUUCAUAAUGGCUUAUUAGGGUUCAAUAAUCAGAACACCAAAUAAUCCAUGCUGGGAGGUAAAAAUUACAGAUAUUCUACUUUAUGCCCCAAACUAGACUUCAAAUCUGUGCUGCUCUUCCAAUCAUGAAUCCGCAGAACAGAGGAUAGAAAGUUCAGGUCAAUUCAAAUUUGACAAACACUUUCCGAGCACUUACUAUGUGCCAAUAUCCGUGGGAGGCCCUGGGAAACCAAAGAUGAAUGAAACACAAACUCUGAUGUCAGAGACCUCACAGUCUGGUGUUUAAGACGAUAAUAGUCUGGAUUAGAUUCUGGUGUGAUGAGAUGGAUUGUCUCAUAAAAAACAGAGGGAAGGGAUUAUUUAACUCUGAUGGGUGGCUGGGUGCUGAGAAGACCCUCAGAGGGUGUAACCUUUGAGUCUUAAGGAGGAUUAAGUUUAAAGGGGAUUUUGUUGGAGGAUAAGCAUCAGGGAAAGCAUUCCAAGAAGAGAGACUGGCAUAUGCAAAGGUAUAGUGUUGUGACCUCUGAUUAAAUAUGGAUGAGACAGGACAGGGAAAAACACACUUGUUAGAUUGUGGCAAAUGCCCAUGUGAAGUGAUUAAGUGACUGAAAUUGGGCAGAGGUGGUGUGCUGGUAGAUUCUAAGGUGACCCCAGUGAUCCAUGCCUUGUACAAUCUUCUCCCCUGUGAGUGUGGGUGGAACCUGUGGGUAUCAUGACCUAUUACUCGGUGAGCAGGUGAUGUUAUAUUGGGAGAUUGACUAUAAGAAGGGGAGACUAUCUGUGUGGUCCUGGCCUAAUGACAUGAAUCCUUUAAGAGCAGAGCUUUCUCCAGCUGGUAGAAAAAGGGGAAGUACGAGACUUAAAGGUGGAGGUGGCCCCGUGGAAAAGACCUAAGGGUAGCCUGUGGGAACUGAGAGAAAACCUCAACUGGCAGCCAGCAAGAAAACAGGGACCUUAAUCUUAUGACCACAAGGAACUGGACUCUGCUACCAGAAUGAGCUGCGAGGGAGAUUCUUCCUCAGAAGCUUCAGAUAAGAACUCCACCUGGCUGACCUUUGAUUUUGGUUUUGUGAGAACUUUGGCAGAUAACCCAGGCAUGUGUCAUUUCACAUCUGCAUAAAAAGACAUGCUGAAGGAUGUUCCUUGCAGAAUGGUUAUAGAGAAAAAUGGGAAUAACCACGAUAUAAAGUAACAGGCCAAGGGAUGAAAACAGUUACCAUUCAGAAGAUGGCUGUCCAGGGCAUCGGCUUCACUGCGUCAGAAUAUGAUGUAAACAGCUGCUAAACCUCAACUGUGUUGAGUCACUGAGAACCAGGGAAUUACGUUUUAGUGGUUAGCGCUGCUUAUUCUUCUGAUGUACUGGCUCUUGUACAGAGAUUUAUUGAGAUUUAUUGAGAGUAGUAUUAAAAUAUUAAAGGAAAAUAAAAACAGAUAACUUUCCACUGUCUUAAAUCAGCUUUUAACAUG